rnacentral:rRNA from 1 species
GGACUACUGGGGUAUCUAAUCCUGUUCGCUCCCCACGCUUUCGCGCCUCAGCGUCAGUAUUAUGCCAGGCGGCUGCCUUCGCCAUCGACGUUCCUUCCGAUCUCUACGCAUUUCACCGCUACACCGGAAAUUCCGCCGCCCUCUCAUAUACUCUAGCAAGCCAGUUUGCGGCGCACUUCCCAGGUUGAGCCCGGGGCUUUCACGCCACACCCACCUUACCGCCUACGCGCCCUUUACGCCCAGUAAAUCCGAUUAACGCUCGCACCCUCUGUAUUACCGCGGCUGCUGGCAC